AACAGCCGCGGUAAUUCCAGCUCCAAUAGCGUAUAUUAAAGUUGCUGCAGUUAAAAAGCUCGUAGUUGAAUUUCGGGACCAUCAUGUCGGUCGUGCCUCGGUACGUACUGGUAUUGUUGGUUUCUCCCUUCUGACGAACCAUAAUGUCAUUUAUUUGGUGUUGUGGGAAAUCAGGACUGUUACUUUGAAAAAAUUAGAGUGUUUAAAGCAGGCUCACGCUUGAAUACAUUAGCAUGGAAUAAUGAAAUAGGACGUUUGAUUCUAUUUUGUUGGUUUCUAGGAUCGACGUAAUGAUUAAUAGGGAUAGUUGGGGGCAUUAGUAUUCAAUUGUCAGAGGUGAAAUUCUUGGAUUUAUUGAAGACUAACUACUGCGAAAGCAUUUGCCAAGGAUGUUUUCAUUAAUCAAGAACGAAAGUUAGGGGAUCGAAGACGAUCAGAUACCGUCGUAGUCUUAACCAUAAACUAUGCCGACUAGGGAUCGGAUGAUGUUAAUUUUUAAUGACUCAUUCGGCGCCUUAAC
rnacentral:rRNA from 1 species